GGCCCAUUCGUCUAGGGGACCAGGACGCCGGCCUCUCAAGCCGGAAACAGGGGUUCGAAUCCCCUAUGGGCCACCA
rnacentral:tRNA from 1 species